rnacentral:rRNA from 1 species
UACGUAGGGUGCAAGCGUUAAUCGGAAUUACUGGGCGUAAAGCGUGCGCAGGCGGCUUGCUAAGACAGGUGUGAAAGCCCCCGAGCUUAACUUGGGAAUGGCGCUUGUGACUGGCAGGCUGGAGUGUGGCAGGAGGGAGGUGGAAUUCCACGUGUAGCAGUGAAAUGCGUAGAGAUGUGGAGGAACACCGAUGGCGAAGGCAGCCUCCUGGGCCAACACUGACGCUCAUGCACGAAAGCGUGGGGAGCAAACAGG